AAGUUUUGAGGAGGGCUUCAAAGGCAUUUCCGUUCAGUUCAAAUUAAUGCGACGAAGAGCCUAAUGACUUUCCAAAAGUAUUUAAAGGAACCUUCCCACUUUGACUCCGGCUCGGACUCAAACUCAAACUACGGCUUUGCCUCCGCCCUCCAUUAAGAAUUGUGCUUAAUUUAAAUUUUGGACCAAAACUUUUUGUGCAAACCAAAAAGAAAACGAAACAAAUUUACGCUGGCGAAUCGACUAACUGCAAAUGUUUCUAAAUAUGCUACUUUAAAAUAUGCAAAUGCAAAUGGAGUUGGAGCUGAGCGACAAGGAGGCGAGAGUUAAAUUGAAUCAACUGAAUUCGAUAUGCAAAA